CUUGAUUAGUCCAGGUGAGUGUUAGGAAGGGUCUUGAUUAGUCCAGGUGAGUGUUGGGAAGGGUCUUGAUUAGUCCAGGUGAGUGUUGGGAAGGGUCUUGAUUAGUCCAGGUGAGUGUUGGGAAGGGUCUUGAUUAGUCCAGGUUAGUGUUGGGGAAGGGUCUUGACUAGUCCAAGUUAGUGUUGGGGAAGGGUCUUGAUUAGUCCAGGUGAAUGUUGGGAAGGGUCUUGAUUAGUCUCUAUGAGUGUUGGGAAAGGUCGCGAUUUGUCCAGGUGAGUGUUGGGAAGGGUCUUGAUUAGUCCAAGUGAGUGUUGGGAAGGGUCUUGAUUAGUCCAAGUGAACGUUGGUAAGGGUCUUGAUUUGUCCGGGUGAGUGUUGGGAAGGGUCUUGAUUAGUCCAGGUGAGCAUUGGGAAGGGUCUUGAUUAGUCUCUGAGUGUUGGGAAGGGUCUCGAUUAGUCCUAGUGAGUGUUGGGAAGGGUCUCGAUUAGUCCUAGUGAAUGUUGUGAAGGGUCUUGAUUAGUCCAGGUGAAUGUUGUGAAGGGUCUUAAUUAGUCCAGAUGAGUGUAUUGAAAGGUAUUGAUUAGUCCUGGUGGGUGUUACGAGGGGUCUUGGUUAGUCCUGGUGGGUUUUGAAAGGCAGCAGUAUGUUGUAUAGUCUCC
ensembl:lncRNA